rnacentral:rRNA from 1 species
GAUGAACGCUGGCGGCGUGCCUAAUACAUGCAAGUCGAGCGAACGGACGAGAAGCUUGCGCCUCUGAUGUUAGCGGCGGACGGGUGAGUAACACGUGGAUAACCUACCUAUAAGACUGGGAUAACUUCGGGAAACCGUAGCUAAUACCGGAUAAUAUUUUGAACCGCAGGGUUCAAAAGUGAAAGACGGUCUUGCUGUCACUUAUAGAUGGAUCCGCGCUGCAUUAGCGAGUUGGUAAGGUAACGGCCCACCAAGGCGACGAUCCGUAGCCGACCUGAGAGGAUGAUCAGCCACACUGGAACUGAGACACGGUCCAGACUCCUACGGGAGGCAGCAGUGGGGAAUAUUGGACAAUGGGCGCAAGCCUGAUCCAGCCAUACCGCGUGGGUGAAGAAGGCCUUCGGGUUGUAAAGCCCUUUUGUUGGGAAAGAAAAGCAGCAGGUUAAUACCCCGCUGUUCUGACGGUACCCAAAGAAUAAGCACCGGCUAACUUCGUG